rnacentral:rRNA from 1 species
AGCGAACGCUGGCGGCAGGCCUAACACAUGCAAGUCGAGCGGCCGUAGCAAUACGGCAGCGGCAGACGGGAGAGUAACACGUGGGAACGCGCCCUUCGGUUCGGGAUAACCCAGGGAAACUUGGGCUAAUACCGGAUACGCCCUUACGGGGAAAGAUUUAUUGCCGAAGGAACGGCCCGCGUCCGAUUAGCUAGUUGGUGAGGUAACGGCUCACCAAGGCGACGAUCGGUAGCUGGUCUGAGAGGAUGACCAGCCUCACUGGGACUGAGACACGGCCCAGACUCCUACGGGAGGCAGCAGUAGGGAAUAUUGGACAAUGGGCGCAAGCCUGAUCCAGCCAUGCCGCGUGGGUGAUGAAGGCCCUAGGGUUGUAAAGCCCUUUCAGCGGGGAAGAUAAUGACGGUACCCGCAGAAGAAGCCCCGGCUAACUUCGUGCCAGCAGCCGCGGUAA